UAUCCGGAAUUAUUGGGCGUAAAGGGCUCGUAGGCGGUUCGUCGCGUCCGGUGUGAAAGUCCAUCGCUUAACGGUGGAUCCGCGCCGGGUACGGGCGGGCUUGAGUGCGGUAGGGGAGACUGGAAUUCCCGGUGUAACGGUGGAAUGUGUAGAUAUCGGGAAGAACACCAAUGGCGAAGGCAGGUCUCUGGGCCGUCACUGACGCUGAGGAGCGAAAGCGUGGGGAGCGAACAGGAUUAGAUACCCUGGUAGUCCACGCCGUAAACGGUGGAUGCUGGAUGUGGGGACCAUUCCACGGUCUCCGUGUCGGAGCCAACGCGUUAAGCAUCCCGCCUGGGGAGUACGGCCGCAAGGCUAAAACUCAAAGAAAUUGACGGGGGCCCGCACAAGCGGCGGACAUGCGGAUUAAUUCGAUGCAACGCAAGAACCUUACCUGGGCUUGACAUGUUCCCGACAGCCGCACAAAUGUGGUUCCCUUCGGGGCGGGUUCACAG
rnacentral:rRNA from 1 species